CCAUGGGUGUACUAAACCCAGGGGCACAGUGAAAGCGAAGGGCACGUUUGGUGUCCGAGGGACGAUCCCCCUCGUGGGGCGCAGUCCCGGCGCUUUGCAUCGACCUCGCUUCGUGCAGAGCAGCAAGAGCGUACCCGUUGGGACCCGAAAGAUGGUGAACUAUGCCUGGCCAGGUCGAAGCCAGGGGAAACCCUGGUGGAGGACCGUAGCGAUUCUGACGUGCAAAUCGAUCGUCGGAGCUGGGUAUAGGGGCGAAAGACUAAUCGAACCGUCUAGUAGCUGGUUCCUUCCGAA
rnacentral:rRNA from 1 species